rnacentral:rRNA from 1 species
UACGAAGGGGGCUAGCGUUGUUCGGAAUUACUGGGCGUAAAGAGCGUGUAGGCGGCCUUUUAAGUCCUGCGUGAAAUCCUGCGGCUCAACCGCAGACGGUCGUGGGAAACUGGAAGGCUAGAGUGCGGGAGAGGAGAGUGGAAUUCCCGGUGUAGCGGUGAAAUGCGCAGAUAUCGGGAAGAACACCCGUGGCGAAGGCGGCUCUCUGGAACGCAACUGACGCUGAGACGCGAAAGCGUGGGGAGCAAACAGG